GCACCCGUAGCUCAGAGGAUAGAGCAGCGGAUUUCUAAUCCGUUGGUCGCGUGUUCGAAUCACGCCGGGUGCGCCA
rnacentral:tRNA from 1 species